UACGGGGGGAGCAAGCGUUGUUCGGAUUUACUGGGCGUAAAGGGCGCGUAGGCGGCGCGACAAGUCACUUGUGAAAUCUCCGGGCUUAACUCGGAGCGGCCAAGUGAUACUGUCGUGCUAGAGUGCGGAAGGGGCAACUGGAAUUCUCGGUGUAGCGGUGAAAUGCGUAGAUAUCGAGAGGAACACCUGCGGCGAAGGCGGGUUGCUGGGCCGACAUUGACGCUGAGGAGCGAAAGCGUGGGGAGCAAACAGG
rnacentral:rRNA from 1 species